UCUGGGCUUAACCCAGAGGCUGCUUUCCAAAACUGCUGUGCUUGAGUGUGGGAGAGGCGCGUGGAAUUGCAGGUGUAGCGGUGAAAUGCGUAGAUAUCUGCAGGAACACCCGUGGCGAAAGCGGCGCGCUGGACCACAACUGACGCUGAGGAACGAAAGCUAGGGGAGCAAACAGGAUUAGAUACCCUGGUAGUCCUAGCCCUAAACGAUCAGGACUUGGGGUGCCGCCCGUUCGGGCGUCGUCCCGGAGCUAACGCGUUAAGUCCUGCACCUGGGGAGUACGGUCGCAAGACUGAAACUCAAAGGAAUUGACGGGGGCCCGCACAAGCGGUGGAACAUGUGGUUCAAUUCGACGCUACGCGAGGAACCUUACCUGGGCUCGAAAUGCUGGUGACCAGCUGUAGAAAUACGGCCUUCCCGCAAGGGACACCAGUAUAGGCGCUGCAUGGCUGUCGUCAGCUCGUGCCGUGAGGUGUUGGGUUAAGUCC
rnacentral:rRNA from 1 species